CUUGGGGGCGGGACUACACAUGCAGUCGAGCGGCGGUUAGGUAGUAACCUUGCUUCUGAUUAACCUAGCGGCGGAAGGUGGGUAACACAACAUGCCACCUGCCCACAAAAUGGGUAUAACUACCGGAAACGGUAGCUAAUACCCGAUACAUCCUUUUCCUGCAUGGGAGAAGGAGGAAAGGCGGAGCAAUCUGUCACUUGUGGAUGGGCCUGCGGCGCAUUAGCUAGUUGGUGGGGUAAAGGCCUACCAAGGCGACGAUGCGUAGCCCACCUGAGAGGGUGAUCGGCCACACUGGGACUGAGACACGGCCCAGACUCCUACGGGAGGCAGCAGUAGGGAAUCUUCCGCAAUGGGCGAAAGCCUGACGGAGCAACGCCGCGUGAGUGAUGAAGGUUUUCGGAUCGUAAAGCUCUGUUGCCAGGGAAGAACGUCUUGUAGAGUAACUGCUACAAGAGUGACGGUACCUGAGAAGAAAGCCCCGGCUAACUACGUGCCAGCAGCCGCGGUAAUACGUAGGGGGCAAGCGUUGUCCGGAAUUAUUGGGCGUAAAGCGCGCGCAGGCGGCUCUAUAAGUCUGGUGUUUAAUCCCGAGGCUCAACUUCGGGUCGCACUGGACACUGGGGAGCUUGAGUGCAGAAGAGGAGAGUGGAAAUUCCACGGUAGCGUAAAAAGGCGCGCAUAAAA
rnacentral:rRNA from 1 species